AAAAUGUUCAAAAUCAUCGGAUGACUUUUGUUCAUGAGUGAUUUGAAAUUAAAUUUAAACAAAAAUUGCAAAAAAAAUUACAGCACUUCAAAUUACAUAUUACCAAACUGCUCUCAGAAUCAUCUUUAGUCAAGUAAUGGUUUAUCGUUGCUUACAGAUAUAAAUGAAAUAACCUUGUGUAUCCUACCUUCCCAAAUUCUCACAUACAACAGUGGCCGCUCCCAUCCUCAGUAUCGGCUCUUUUUUUCUUUUUCUG